GGAAGCCAGGAAUCACCUAUCUACAGCUUCCCCAGAACCAUGGCUACAUUGAAAUGUUAAAGAACUUCGUUCCCAUCCAUCCACAUGCCCACUAGCAAGCUGACUGCAACCGGGAAUUCAUCUUUAUGAGGGUUCUUCCCUCAACUCCAUCAUGAUGUGAGCCACGAGGCUGCCUUCUCUCAUCCCAACCUGCUAAAACUAUGUCAAAUGCUGAAGAAGCUGCCCUACAACCAGCACCAUUUUGAGGUCCACUUAAGGACAAAAUAAGGCAGAAUCCAGGAGGUAGAGAUGAAGAGGAACAGUAUUCCAGGCAUGAGAGUCACCCUACCAACAUAUUCCCUCCCCUCCAUGACCCUGAAAUGUGACUCUUUACA